GAACGCGAAGAACCUUACCAGAUCUUGACAUCCCGCGAAUGCCCGUGAAGACGGGCAGUGCCUUCGGGAACGCGGAGACAGGUGGUGCAUGGCUGUCGACAGCUCGUGUCGUGAGAUGUUGGGUUAAGUCCCGCAACGAGCGCAACCCCUGUUGCUAGUUACCAUCAUUAAGUUGGGGACUCUAGCAAGACUGCCUGCGAAGAGCAGGAGGAAGGUGGGGAUGACGUCAAGUCAUCAUGCCCCUUAUGAUCUGGGCUACACACGUGCUACAAUGGGCUGUACAGAGAGGAGCGAGGCGGUGACGCGGAGCGAAUCUUGAAAGCAGUUCGAAGUUCGGAUUGAAGUCUGCAACUCGACUUCAUGAAGUUGGAAUCGCUAGUAAUCGCGGAUCAGCAAUGCCGCGGUGAAUACGUUCUCGGGUCUUGUACACACC
rnacentral:rRNA from 1 species